UGGGCCCAUUACCCCCCCCCCCCCCCCCUCUCUCUCUCUGUGUGUGUUUCCCGAAAGAGGAGGGGAGUCGACCCUUGUCUGUCCAGCGUGGCGUGGCAAAAACAAACCGCCCGUAGCCAAACCGGGUCGCCGCCGGCCGGCUCACUUCUCUUAGUCCGCCGGCGGCGAUGGCUGGCUAUUCUGCGGUGGCGAGCAGCUCCUCUUCGUCAAACGCGCCCCCCUCGCUCGGCACGCGCGUGGAUGAUGCUACUCCGCCGCUGUUCAGGACAAGUUACUGCGGGCAAGGAUGGAAGCUCGGCAAUGGCGAAUUGGCGAUUUGCUGAAUCUGCCGUAUUUGCUUGCUACUUUUAUAUAGAUCUAUAGCCAUGCUACUACCAUCAGCUGCCACAUAUCAUUCAGUCUUGUUUUGGAAUUUCUUACUUGCAUGACUACCAAAUUUCACAACCAUCUCCCUUUGUUUUUCUUUUGACAGAAACAUGCAGGCAUCAGUUAUUCAGUUAGAGAUUCAACAAAGUUAAUCUGAAUAUAUGUGGAAUAUCAGCAUCUCUGCGGUCCAGUCCAUUUCCACGGGUGCUCCAAGUUGUUUCGCGGUUUAAUCGGAAUAUUGUUCUUCUUGGUCACCACUCACCGUGUUUUACAGUGUAGCUAGAUAGAUGUCACUGAACCAGAAAAACAAAGCAAUGCAAACUACAACGUCACACGCCGCUUCCAGGCCAUAGCAAUUCACACCUCACCCUUGGGGUCCUUACAAUUUAAGUGUAGCGGUUCUUUUUUCACAACCAUCGUCAUGCUUUGCUGAAACUGCAUUCCAUUUCCUUGUAUUUUUCAUUUAACAGAUCAUGGAUAUAUCACUUUUCAGUUAGAGAUUCAAGAAAUUUAAUCUGAAUAUGUGUGGAAUAUCAGUAUCCUUGCGGAUCUAGUCCAUUCCCACGAGUGCUCGAAGCUGUUCCGCAACGUUGCUGAGGUGGAGGCCUAGCACGAGUUCAACCCCUCCUUCAAGCCCAAACCAGGAGGUCACCGCAGGCCUCUUAAUAAGCAGUACAUCUUAACUGAGAUUCUGAGAUUCUUGGAUAAAGAGGCAAUUUGAAGCUUGUCAUUCAAUGUGUGGCACCAGGAGGAUUCGAAUCUGCACAAAGGUUGGAUAUACUCUUAGAGAACAUAUUCGUUGCCAGAGUCUACAGUCCAGACCUUUACAUCCUUCCAGGUCUAAAUUUUUUGAGCCAUCUUUUAUAUGACAGAAGCCGUGAUUCAGUUCAAGAAACACACAGAUGUCACUUAUUCAGUUAGAAAUUCAAGAAGUUUAAUCUGAAUAUGUGUGGAAUAUCAACAUUCUUGCGGAUCCAGUCCAUUUCCACAAGUGGUCGAAGAUGUUUCGCAGCAGUGCUGAGGUGGAGGCCUAGCACGAAUCCAACCCCUCCGUCAAGCCCAAACCAGGAUGGUGCCACAGGCUCUUAAUAAACAGGGAUAUCCAUGGUCUAUGGGUGCAGCGAGGAGCAUGCCUCCUUUGCGACGUGCAGGUGUUCCUGAACGAUGGGACAAGCAUUCAAUGCAAGGAGUGAGUGCGUGCUCAAGGAGUUCCCUCCAUUGCAAGUGUAUCCCCGCAGGCCGCAGCAUUGACAAACCAGAAACUGAUGAGUGGCCGUCUGUGUUCUACAGCAACAAUCAAGGAUCAUCUUGGGUGUGUCAUGUGUGGUUGUUGAUUUAGUCUAAGGUGAAUCAUAAACGUUUUAG